UACGUAGGGCGCAAGCGUUGUCCGGAAUCACUGGGCGUAAAGGGCGCGUAGGUGGCGCGGGCAGUCAACGGUGAAAGUUCGGGGCUCAACCCUGAAUCAGCCGUCGAUACUCCCGUGCUUGAGCACUGUAGAGGCAGAUGGAAUUCCGGGUGUAGCGGUGGAAUGCGUAGAGAUCCGGAAGAACACCGGUGGCGAAGGCGGUCUGCUGGGCAGUAGCUGACACUGAGGCGCGACAGCGUGGGGAGCAAACAGG
rnacentral:rRNA from 1 species